GAGGCCUCUUGAAGAGGAACCAAGGCCCCCAGGGGAAAGCCGGCAUCAACUUCCCCACGUGAACCAGCCUCCCGAGGCCCCAGACUACGUGGGGCAGAGAGAGCCCAAAUCCCCACCUGCAGAACCGCUCUGCUCCUGCUCCAGCCCACCAGCCUUCCUGGAGCUGACCCAGCUCCCUGAGGCCUGUGAAAGAAAUGCCCCAACCUGGAGGGCACCCCUGCACUGGCAGCGGUCCUUUGGGACCAGUUUGCUCAACAGUUGCUUGCACGCGGCCUGCAGACCUCCGACUCAAUGAGCUUCUCUGACUCCCAGCCUGCCCGCCCUUCUGUUGACCACAGCAUCCUGUGCAACACUCACAAUGCGGCCCUGUUCUCCCCCUGCCACAGUGCCCGCCCCUCGGGCCUCCUCGGGAAGAGGCCGUGCCAGCUGGGGGCUGCCUUUGCUGGUUUUCAGGAAGACGCUUGCACCGUGUGUGGCCGGAGAUGGGGCACCUCUUCCUUGGCAGCACCUUCGAAUUAGGAGGUGGUUUGCUAUGGACAGAACAGGUGGGGCAGCGGCUCAGCUCCCUUGAGGGCAGGCUUCCCUCCGAGCCCAAGCCUGCCGGGCCCACUCUGGGGCUGGACCUCUGAUCUUUGGGGGCUUCCUCCUCCCUUCCCUUCAAGCCUGAGCUUGAGCAGCUUCUCUGUGGGCUGGGAUCUGCUGUGUCUCGUGGCCCUGUUUGACUGUCCCCAUGUGUUUAGCCUUUGUCUUG